UACGGAGGGUGCAAGCGUUAAUCGGAAUUACUGGGCGUAAAGCGUGCGUAGGCGGUUCGUUAAGUCUGUUGUGAAAGCUCCGGGCUCAACCUGGGAAUGGCAAUGGAUACUGGCGAGCUAGAGUGUGUCAGAGGAUGGUGGAAUUCCCGGUGUAGCGGUGAAAUGCGUAGAGAUCGGGAGGAGCACCAGUGGCGAAGGCGGCUACCUGGACCAGCACUGACACUGAGGCACGAAAGCGUGGGGAGCAAACAGG
rnacentral:rRNA from 1 species